rnacentral:rRNA from 1 species
GAUGAACGUUGGCGGUGCGCUUUAUGCAUGCAAGUCGUACGGAACCAUGGUUCUCGGAUCACGGUUCAGUGGCGGACGGCUGAGUAACACGUGGGUAACUUACCCGUGAGCGGGGGAUAACUUGCCGAAAGGCACGCUAAUACCGCAUGGUGUGAAACUGCUCAAGCAGUCUCACUAAAGCCGUAAGGCACUCACGGAUAGGCCUGCGGCCGAUCAGCUAGUUGGUGAGGUAACGGCCCACCAAGGCAGUGAUCGGUAGCUGGUCUGAGAGGAUGUCCAGCCAGAUGGGGACUGAGACACGGCCCCAACUCCUACGGGAGGCAG